rnacentral:lncRNA from 1 species
GAGGAUGUGACAAACAUAUUCUAAGCUAUUGUCCGCGUUUUACUUUUUGGUACCACUCUAUUCCAUUCAUAUUACAACAACUUCACAAGCCAUGGACUAAACUCACCAAUCAAACACUAAAAAUAAAAAAUUACUAUUACUAUUAUUAUCUUAGACAGAGAGAGAUCAGGGACAACCAAACACGUACAAAUGUGCAUAGCAUUAUUAUUUUUCGUUAUUGUAGUAAAGCAUCAUUUGCAAUUCAAUUGGAGUUUUGAUUCCUAACUUAAAUUUGUAAAUAUUAGUUUUAAAACUUGUUGGAAUAUUAAUCAUUUUAGAUAAUUCCAUUAGAAAUUCAACCACUUGUUUACUAUUGAUCCCUCUUUUUAUUACAAAUGUAAAUUUUAACAAAGUCAUCCAGACGAGAACGAUUGUUAUAUUUUCGAAUAUUUCCAUUGACGUGGCCGGCGCUGGC